rnacentral:rRNA from 1 species
AUUGAACGCUGGCGGCAGGCCUAACACAUGCAAGUCGAGCGAGCGGCGGACGGGUGAGUAAUGUAUGGGGAUCUGCCUGAUAGCGGGGGAUAACUACUGGAAACGGUGGCUAAUACCGCAUACUCUCGGAUGAUCCCAUAGGGGAUUAGCUAGUUGGUGGGGUAAAGGCUCACCUAGGCGACGAUCUCUAGCUGGUCUGAGAGGAUGAUCAGCCACACUGGAACUGAGACACGGCCCAGACUCCUACGGGAGGCAGCAGUGGGGAAUAUUGCACAAUGGGCGCAAGCCUGAUGCAGCCAUGCCGCGUGUAUGAAGAAGGCCUUAGGGUUGUAAAGUACUGUCAGCGGGGAGGCGUUACCCGCAGAAGAAGCACCGGCUAACGCCGUGCCAGCCGCCGCGGUAAUUC